AUUGAACGCUGGCGGCAUGCCUAACACAUGCAAGUCGAACGGAAUUGGGGGCAACCCUGGUUUAGUGGCGGACGGGUGAGGAAUACAUCGGAAUUUACCUCGAGAUGGGGGAUAACCAAGGGAAACUUUGGCUAAUACCGCAUGAUCUCGUGAGAGCAAAGAGGGGGACCGCAAGGCCUCUUGUCUUGAGAUGAGCCGAUGUCCGAUUAGCUAGUUGGCAGGGUAAAGGCCUACCAAGGCGACGAUCGGUAGCUGGUCUGAGAGGAUGAUCAGCCACACUGGAACUGAGACACGGUCCAGACUCCUACGGGAGGCAGCAGUGGGGAAUAUUGGACAAUGGGCGCAAGCCUGAUCCAGCAAUGCCGCGUGUGUGAAGAAGGCCCUCGGGUUGUAAAGCACUUUUGUACGGGAAGAAAACCCAUUUAUUAAUACUGGAUGGGAA
rnacentral:rRNA from 1 species